rnacentral:rRNA from 1 species
UACGUAGGGGGCUAGCGUUGUCCGGAUUUAUUGGGCGUAAAGAGCUCGUAGGCGGUCUGUCGCGUCUGCUGUGAAAACUCAGGGCUUAACCCUGAGCUUGCAGUGGGUACGGGCAGACUAGAGUGCGGUAGGGGAGACUGGAAUUCCUGGUGUAGCGGUGAAAUGCGCAGAUAUCAGGAGGAACACCGGUGGCGAAGGCGGGUCUCUGG